UAGGGUAUAGCUCAAGUGAUAGAGUGCGUGCUUAACAUGCACGAGGUCUAGGGUUCAAUCCCCAAUAUCUUCU
rnacentral:tRNA from 1 species